GACGAACGCUGGCGGCGCGCUUAACACAUGCAAGUCGAGCGAAGCGGCAGACUGGUGAGUAACACGUGAGUAACCUGCCUUAGACAUUGGGAUAGCAUCGGGUAACCGGGAUUAAUACCAAAUGGUCUAAGAUGGACUCGCGUCCCAUUAGCUAGUUGGUGGGUAACGGCCCACCAAGGCGACGAUGGGUAGCCGGCCUGAGAGGCGGAACGGCGACAUUGGAACUGAGAAACGGUCCAAACUCUACGGGAGGGAGCAGUGGGGAAUGCGGCACAAUGGAGUGAAUUCUGAUGCAGCGAAGCCGCGUGAGCGAAGAAAGCUGUGGAGUCGUAAAGUUCUUUUAUAUGGGUAGCGGUACCAUAAGAAUAAGCCCCGGCUAACUACGUGCCAGCAGCCGCGGUAAUAC
rnacentral:rRNA from 1 species